UAAUCUAAUGACUCUUGGGAGGCAAAAAUCAGAGGAUAAAAGAGCUAACAGCAAAUACCACACUGACAAAGGCAGUUUGCCUGAGGGCCAUGUGGUAAUAAUACUCUUCAGAAGUUCUAGAACCCUGAGGAUUUCAAAGGGGGAGAGUCUCAUCUCUGGGUUGGAACUGCGCCAGAUUGGAAGUCAUAUCAGAAGAAGCCAGGGUCUUGAUAUGCCUUCUUUUGACACGGGGACCACUAACCAGGCCUGGGAGAGAAGGAGGAAUUAGCCUCAUCUAAAAGGAAAUCGUAUACUUGGCCAAUUCAAUAGACAUGAAUUGGGACUUCCUGUGUUCCUGUCUCUAUAGCAGGUUUUGUGAGGAGGUGUAAAAAUACAUCAGAAAGUUCCUGCCCUCAGAGCUUUCAGGGAAGUGAGGAAGGUAGGUAUACUAAAAAAUUAUAUCUCCUCUUUGUGAGUGCUGUAAGGAUUCCAGGUGAGGUAGACAGAAGUUCUUGAAAAACACAAGGUGAAGGUGGCAUUAAUUUUAAUAGGAAAAAGUAAAGUUUCACAGAGGAGGCAGAUUUCGAAAGGCAGAACCAAGGGAGAAGGAACAGCACAAGCAAAGAGACAGAGGUGGGGUGACACAGGGUGUCAGGGGACUGGUGAAGCCUUCAUCAUCCUCGUCUUUCAAGCCAUGUUCUCACAGCCACUAUAAUGGUGUGAAACAAGAGCUCAGACUCACGUAUCUGCAGGGACCAGGCUACUAAGGUAAAUGAGUGAAAUGGGCUGGAUAUAGUUCUAGGGAGUGGGGAGGACUGUGGCAAAGUAGCUUGUGUGCCAGUGUGUGAGGAUGGUGGGUCUUUAAGAAUAGCUGCGGGGUGGGGGAGUUGUAUGAAGCGGUUCAAAAGGUACAAGCCUCCAGUUAGGAGAUAAACAGGUACCGGGGAUGUAAUGUGCAACAUGAUGACCAUAGCUGACACAGGUGUAUGGUAUGCUUGCUUGAAAUUUGCAAAAUAGAUGACAUAUAAUAUAUAUACAUACACAUGAAGAGAUGAUGUUAACUCAACUUAUUGGAAGCAUUUUUCAGUCUACAUAUGUGUCAUUAUGUGGCACACCUUAAACUUGUAGGGUACUCUGUGUCAUUUAUAUCUCAAUAAAACUGGGGGGACAAAAAAGAGUAAUGGCCUGUCCCCUCCAGCCGCACUCCAUUUGACUCCACUGGAUUGAUGCCAAGAAGCACAUUUCCUAUUGCAGAGGGUAUCCCCAAACUGCCCAUUGAUAAACAGUGCAAAGACCUUAGGGGCAUACUACCUCCCCCACCCAAACAGUGGGUAAACCUAGUUUCCAUCACACAGACCCCUCUUACCAAUAAGCCGGCAUUUUUCAUGGCCAGGGGAAGCCCCAGGAGUCCUGUGCCAAUGUUGCAUUUCAGUAAAUGGAUCAAAGUUUGCAUUCUCCUGUAGGGAAGAGUGGGGAGACAAGAGGGUUAGUGGGUGGGAAAGGUGAUCCAAAGCUCAGGCUCCUUCCAGCAUCUUCAGCACCUGCCACCCUUUGGGAGGAGGGACAAAACCCGAUGAGGUGAACUCUGGAACAUCUGAUCCAGGGCUGGUGCUAGUUUAGGUGACUCAACACGUACUUAACCCACAAUAGGCUCAAAAGAAAAGGUUGACAAUUGCUACCAUUCUGGAUAAGCCCCUAGUACCAGUUUAUUCAUUAAUUCAUCUAAUGAUUUCUUUCAGUUUAUUCACUAAAAUAAUUUUUAAAAAAAUUUUUUUAACGUUUAUUUAUUUUUGAGACACAGAGAGACAGAGCAUGAACAGGGGAGGGGCAGAGAGAGAGGGAGACAAAGAAUCUGAAGCAGGCUCCAGGCUCCGAGCCAUCAGCCCAGAGCCCGACGUGGGGCUUGAACUCAUGGACCGCGAGAUCGUGAUCUGAGUUGAAGUCGGACGCUUAACCGACUGAGCCACCCAGGCGCCCCUAAAAUAAUUUUUAUUGAGACCUACUAGGCCUUGGCAUCUAGAUGGACAAUGAAAUAAUUAAUGAUUUUCUUAAUUUAUAGAGUAAUUAUUGGUGCCAGUUUAUUUAUUAAUUCAUUCACUAGAAAAAAAAAACGUAACUUCUCCUGCUAUUUGGAGUAUUUACUGGUUCUAGUUCAUUCCUUCAUCCAUUUACUCAACCAAUAUUCCUGUGAACUGUUCCAUGCUCUGCAUUGGAUGCAAUUUAAUAACAAUUGUUAUUGUGCAUGCAGAACGUUAACUAUGUGUCUUGUAGGGUGCUGGGUACCAGGGUUCUAAAUGCUCUCCAUGCCUGUGCUGGCAGUUUCUGCUAAAGGAAGUGGUAAGAAUCAGAAGAGGUAAUGACAUGAUGAAUCUUGGAAUCAUGAAGUGCUUCUAAGAUGUGAGGCAUCAUCACCAUCACCACCGCCAUCAUCACCAUUCUCGUCCUCAUCAGCGACACUACCACCUUUGGUCUGACGUUAUGGUGCCUACCUGCUAGAAGGGCCUCCUUGAAGGGGAAGUAGAGCUGGGUGGAUAGAAAACAGGUGUUAGGAAGACAGAAGUGGGCAGAUGUGGCCCAGAGCUGUGAAGGCAGCCGCGCUUGACCUCAGAUCUAGAAGGGCAGGACAGCCACUUACGAUAAGCCGCUGGCUUCCUCAGCAGGAUGGACGUUCUCUGCAGUGACAUUGCUCUUCCUCU